rnacentral:rRNA from 1 species
GACGAACGCUGGCGGCGUGCUUAACACAUGCAAGUCGAACGGAAAGGCCCUGCUUUUGUGGGGUGCUCGAGUGGCGAACGGGUGAGUAACACGUGAGUAACCUGCCCUUGACUUUGGGAUAACUUCAGGAAACUGGGGCUAAUACCGGAUAGGAGCUCCUGCUGCAUGGUGGGGGUUGGAAAGUUUCGGCGGUUGGGGAUGGACUCGCGACUUAUCAGCUUGUUGGUGGGGUAGUGGCUUACCAAGGCUUUGACGGGUAGCCGGCCUGAGAGGGUGACCGGCCACAUUGGGACUGAGAUACGGCCCAGACUCCUACGGGAGGCAGCGGUGGGGAAUAUUGCACAAUGGGCGGAAGCCUGAUGCAGCAACGCCGCGUGCGGGAUGACGGCCUUCGGGUUGUAAACCGCUUUCGCCUGUGACGAAGCGUGAGUGACGGUAAUGGGUAAAGAAGCACCGGCUAACUACGUG